rnacentral:rRNA from 1 species
UGGGGAAUCUUGCGCAAUGGCCGGAAGGCUGACGCAGCGACGCCGCGUGUGGGAGGACGCUCUUCGGGGUGUAAACCACUGUUGCCCGGGACGAACACACCAUUUCGAUGGUGCUGACGGUACCGGGUGAGGAAGCACCGGCUAACUCCGUGCCAGCAGCCGCGGUAAUACGGAGGGUGCGAGCGUUGUCCGGAAUCAUUGGGCGUAAAGGGCGCGUAGGUGGCCCGGUCAGUCUUUGGUGAAAGCGCGGGGCUCAACCCUGCGUCGGCCAGGGAUACUGCCGCGGCUGGAGCACUGUAGAGGCAGGCGGAAUUCCGGGUGUAGCGGUGGAAUGCGUAGAGAUCCGGAAGAACACCGGUGGCGAAGGCGGCCUGCUGGGCAGUUGCUGACACUGAGGCGCGACAGCGUGGGGAGCAAAC